AUACUUACCUGGCAGGGGAGACCCCAUGAUCAGGAAGGUGGUUUUCCCAGGGCGAGGCUCACCCAUUACACUGAGGGUGUGCUGAGCCCUGCAUUUCCCCAAAUGCGGGAAACUCCACUGCAUAAUUUGUGGUGGUGGGGGACUGUAUUCGUGCUCUCCCCUG